rnacentral:misc_RNA from 1 species
GAAAUGCGAUAAUUAAUGUGAAUUGCAGAAUUCAGUGAAUCAUCGAGUCUUUGAACGCACAAUGCGCCCCCUGGUAUUCCGGGGGGCAUGCCUGUCCGAGCGUCAUUGCUGCCCUCAAGCACGGCUUGUGUGUUGGGCUUCCGUCCCUGGCAACGGGGACGGGCCCAAAAGGCAGUGGCGGCACCAUGUCUGGUCCUCGAGCGUAUGGGGCUUUGUCACCCGCUCCCGUAGGUCCAGCUGGCAGCUAGCCUCGCAACCAAUCUUUUUAACCAGGUUGACCUCGGAUCAGGUAGGGAUACCCGCUGAACUUAAGC